GUGCAAGAAAGUGCUGCACGCUUUUUCCAAAUAAACUCCAUGGAUUUGCUUGGAUUGUCAGCUGGGUGCUGAAAAGGGACACAAAGGAGGGACUGCAUCGCUUUGACAAUCCAAGGAAAGCCAUGGAUCGCAUGAAUCUUGCAAUUGAUGUCCGUCCGUUACGUCAGUUACGCCAGGUGUCUGAGAUCCGGAGACCAAUUCUCUGUGAGUGUGUUCCAUAAACCAUCUUUUCGAUGGUAUAGUUAUGUCCAACAUUUUUGGUAGAGCCCGCUCCAGGAAUGCAAUCGGGUCCCCUUCUUCACAGCCCUCAGGAAUGCCAACAAAGCGCAAAUUUUGUCUGUUUCGGUCUUCAAUGUCGUUCAUCUCAGCCUACGGGUCAGUUUUAGUAACAGACUCAGAGGAUAGGUGAGACACUGAGAAGAAAUGGCUUCAGAGUCUGGUACUGAUCUUCCUCAUGACACCUCAAGGAUAUCAUUCAUCAUCAGCAGCUAUGUGAAUGGGCUGGCCAGCACGCAUCAAGAUGUGAGCUGCAGUCUCUCUAUCUAUCCAACCUGACUGGCUGAAGACUUAUAUCUCCUUGAGCCUGUUUCACCUCUGACCACAGUCAAGAGUAUGCUCUGUCGCACCUGUAACUGCACCCAACAGUGAUGUCACAGUGUACUGAACCACCCUGGGGUACACUUCUACUUCACUGCAGCAAGCGCCAAAUUCCACAGCGAAAAUUAUGAGAACACCAUCUUUCAUCAUCGCCAUCGAGACGUUAUCAGCGACUUGACAUCAUGUCUGUCUGAUUUAACAUUGUUUCAUCUAACUUUAUUUAGAUGUGGUUCCAGCUUCCAGAUGUUUGUGUGUGUUGUCAGUGAGAGUUGUGAGUCAUGCUCUCAGGGUUUCUGAGCUCCACUUCCCGUACUGCGGCUCCCUCCCCCUUGAAGACUGGCGAGCAGUUAGGCCUCUUUAGGAAAUAAUUCUUUUAUGCAGCAAGUGCAGUUCACCCCUAACACCCCUGAUAAUAUUAAUAGGAAGGGAGGAUAUACUCAGGGCUUCCUUAAACAAAAGGAUGUUUGAUUUUAAUCAUAGGUGGAGU